UGGAGUGUAAUUUUUUCAUAGUUAGAUGCCUGGCUGACAACUGUAUAAAACAAAAAGUACACACAAUAUUCGAAGCACAUAGUGCACACUGUGGGAAUUUACGACUGUGCGUAAAUCCCCCCUGAUAUUGGUAUGAUCCGAGCUCAGGCACUAAGCGACUGAGCGAGGGGGCGGGGCAGCUGCUGCCUGUGAGUGCGCUGUUGGAGAAACGGAGCCAGGCAGACAGAGGAGAGCUUAAGUUCGACCAGUUGUUACCCUCCCCGACUAAAUCGGUUUCAGUUAUGUACUGAAAUAUAAGAAUGGACAUUAGAGGGUUCUUUCAAAGAAAAAUGUCAGCACAGAGGGAGAGAGAGGAACAGAGAGGGAGAGAGGAGCAGAGAGGGAGAUGGAGAA